AUUCUCAAUUCAUUUAAAUCAGUUCAAUAGUUCAGUGAAUUAACAUAAAUAAAAUCAAGUAAAUUUAUUUAGUGACGCCACGCGGCCAUUACGCGCCACCGUUAACAAAGGAUUGCAUCAGCCACGCGGCUUUAGUCAAUCCAUAAUUGACGCGUGAUAUUAACAAUUAAUUACAUUAAAUUAGUUAUUGACAUUUAAUUACGAUCUUAUUUAAUUUAGCUUAUAAAUAAUUAAAUUCCAACUUCAAAUCAUUUGACUAAUUUCUACACGAAAAACAUCAAACUCAAUUGACUAACAUUCUGUUAUCAAUUGAAUAUUAUUUGCUCUCACCUUGAGACAAUUGAACAUUAAUAGAUCUCACUCUGAGAUAGUUCAAAGUGAUUAGAUAUUACUAGCUCCCACCUUGGGACUUAUCUAAUUCAAAUUAUCGAUAAUUUUCUAUCUAAGGCGGUUGAGCUCACCCCUAUUGCGUUAUUGCAACGUAAUUUUACACAUUAACACUUACACAUACACAAUUUACUUGUAUAAUUUCAUCAAGGAGGUUUUUUCCCAGCCUAGCUGGGUUUUCCUCCUUUGGAGACAAAUAAAUUCUUCUAAAUUGUUCCCCAAAAAAUCCAAGUAUUUUUAUUUAAUUUCCUAAUCCCAACUUUAUCGUAUAAUUUAAAACAAUUACGGGAAUUAUCCGCAUUGGAUAGUUUUCGACAAAACAACAGUUGAAGGCUAAAUUGGCGGCUAUUAGUAGUGAGACAGAAGUUCAUGACAAUUUGGCGACCAACGUUCAUGACAAUAAUGAUAAAGAAAAUUCAAAAUUCAUAUUAAAUCAUAGUAAAGAAGAUCAUGAAAAUGUUCUGAAAGAAGUGACUACUCCUCCAAAAACACUACAUCCAGAAAAAUCGGACCUACUUUCAAUGAAGAUUGAAAAAAAGUCGAAGGAAGUUAAAAAAAGAAAGCGUGAUCCGGAAUCAUUGAUGGAAACUAUGCCCAACAAAAAAUCUCGUAAAAAUCGUAAAGACAAAAAAUCUAAAGGAAUGAAGAAUUAAAUAAUUUAAAACGAAUAUAAUUGAAGGCAAAAAUACAAAAUUUCUAAGAUUAGCUCCUAAGAGAAACUCUAUCAUAGAAGAAGCAACAAGCUAUUUAAGUCAUGAUGGUGGCAGUAGACAGGUGCAAAAUAAUGGAUCUAUGGAAUCAACAGGAUCAGUAAAAUUACAAGUUAAGAAAGACGAUAAAUCUAUUACAGUUACAAAAAGCGACGCACAUGAUAUUCUUCCAGAUAGACUUCCAAAUCAAGAUAUAGUCGAGACAAAAAUAAGUGGAUCUCAAGAAGUUGAUCCAACGGUAUCAGAAAUUGCUUAAACUUCCGAAUUUCUUGAACAAAUUAACUUGAGUAAAGACUCGACCGCAACCACCCUGAAUGCCAACAAUACUUCUCUCGAAAGUGGAUCAACAAAAACUGUCUUGGAUAAUAGUGCCGCUCAGCAAGAUGACAUUUCCUGUGAAAUUUUUCGUUCUUUCGAUCAGCUUGUGAAUGAGUCUUUGAAGAAGAAGAAAAAAAGUAAGCUUUCAGACAAAAAGCCGAAACAUAGCAAAAGUUCGAAGAAGAAUAAAAUCAAAAAUCAAAGAAAUGAAUCAGAAAAUUGCGUUAUGAACGAAAUAAGACAGGAAAUAAAUGACAUUAAAAAAAGUCAAGAGGCUUUUCAGCAAGUAGUCACCGCAGCUUUGCAGACAAUUUUGUCAAAUUGGCAGCAGAUUCAAAGUACACGCGCAACAGUACCGACAGCAGUUCAAGCAAUAGAUUUCGAAAAUAUAAAAGUGCCUCCGCCAGUUGGUUUUAUACGGACAGACACCGAAAUGAUUCAUUGCGGUCAAAAUGUCUAGAUUACUGUUCAAGAUUAUAAUAAUGCAAAAGCUGCAGCUGGGACUGAUGCUAUCUUUGUAAAAAAUAUAGCAGUAAAUAUAUUUACUCGAGACGUAUUAAAGGCUAGUAGUAUAACAGGUAAAAGAAGCAACAGAACCAAAGGACCUGCCAAACCAAAACUAGAUCCCAUCAAAAUGCUUGCUGUUAGAGGUAUUUACAGACAUUAUCUAAAGGAACACAGGCAAUUGUCAGAAAAACAUAUCAAUGAGAAGAUUGACGACUACGUGGAAUACAUUCGGGGAAAAAUUUCAGAUCUAGAAAGACCAAAAAAAAUACCACUUAAAAAAACUGAAGAAGAAGAAGCUAAUGGAAUUGAGCAAAAGGCUGAUGGAAAAAAGAAAAAGAGUAAAA
rnacentral:lncRNA from 1 species